rnacentral:rRNA from 1 species
UACGUAGGGUGCAAGCGUUAUCCGGAUUCACUGGGUUUAAAGGGUGCGUAGGUGGGCAAGUAAGUCAGUGGUGAAAUCUCCGGGCUUAACCCGGAAACUGCCAUUGAUACUAUUUGUCUUGAAUACUGUGGAGGUCAGCGGAAUAUGUCAUGUAGCGGUGAAAUGCUUAGAUAUGACAUAGAACACCAAUUGCGAAGGCAGCUGGCUACACAAAUAUUGACACUGAGGCACGAAAGCGUGGGGAUCAAACAGG